rnacentral:rRNA from 1 species
GAUGAACGCUAGCGGCAGGCUUAAUACAUGCAAGUCGAGGGGUCAGCAAUGACACCGGCGGACGGGUGCGUAACGCGUAUGCAACCUACCUACAUCAGGGGGAUAGCCCUAGGAAACUGGGAUUAACACCGCAUAAUAGUAUUGAUGGCAUCAUUGAUAUUUGAAAUAUUUAUAGGAUGUAGAUGGGCAUGCGUAAGAUUAGCUAGUUGGUAAGGUAACGGCUUACCAAGGCUACGAUCUUUAGGGGCUCUGAGAGGAGUAUCCCCCACACUGGCACUGAGAUACGGGCCAGACUCCUACGGGAGGCAGCAGUAGGGAAUAUUGGGCAAUGGAGGCAACUCUGACCCAGCCAUGCCGCGUGCAGGAAGACGGCCCUCUGGGUUGUAAACUGCUUUUGAAUGGGAAGAAUGUGCUCCUUGCGAGGAGUAAUGACGGUACCAUUAGAAUAAGCCACGGCUAACUACGUGCCAGCAGCCGCAGUAA